rnacentral:rRNA from 1 species
AACGAACGCUGGCGGCAUGCCUAACACAUGCAAGUCGAACGAGACCUUCGGGUCUAGUGGCGCACGGGUGCGUAACGCGGGGUAACCUGCCCUUAGGUUCGGAAUAACUCCCCGCAAGGGGUGCUAGUACCGGAUAAUGUCUUCGGACCAAAGAUUUUUCGCCUUUGGAUGGGCCCGCGUUGGAUUAGUUAGUUGGUAGGGUAAAAGCCUACCAAGGCGACGUUCCCUAGCUGGUCUGAGAGGAGGAUCAGCCACGCUGGGACUGAGACACGGCCCAGACUGCUACGGGACGCAGCAGUGGAGAGUAUUGGAGAAUGGGCGAAAGCCUGAUCCAGCCAUGCCGGGUGAGUGAUGAAGGCCUUAGGGUUGUAAAGCUAUUUUACACGGGAUGAUAAUGACAGUACCGGGAGAAUAAGCGCCGGCUAACUCCGUG